GACGAACGCUGGCGGCGUGCCUAAUACAUGCAAGUCGAGCGAAUGGAAGGGAGCUUGCUCCCUGAAGUUAGCGGCGGACGGGUGAGUAACACGUGGGCAACCUGCCUGUAAGACUGGGAUAACUUCGGGAAACCGGAGCUAAUACCGGAUACGUUCUUUUCUCGCAUGAGGAAAGAUGGAAAGAUGGUUUCGGCUAUCACUUACGGAUGGGCCCGCGGCGCAUUAGCUAGUUGGUGGGGUAAUGGCCCACCAAGGCGACGAUGCGUAGCCGACCUGAGAGGGUGAUCGGCCACACUGAGACUGAGACACGGCCCAGACUCCUACGGGAGGCAGCAGUAGGGAAUCUUCCGCAAUGGACGAAAGUCUGACGGAGCAACGCCGCGUGAGCGAGGAAGGCCUUCGGGUCGUAAAGCUCUGUUGUCAGGGAAGAACAAGUGCCAGAGUAACUGCUGGCACCUUGACGGUACCUGACCAGGAAGCCACGGCUAACUACGUGCCAGCAGCCGCGGUAA
rnacentral:rRNA from 1 species